CUCGGCAAUGAGUGGAUCGCCCUCCCUGCCAAAAGGAAGGCUUUGUCCACAUAGAUGCAAGAUUUGAAGGCUGCGUUGAGGUGGUCGACGACACGUAUGUGACCAACCCUGCCGGUGACUGCCCUCGCACUCGGGGCCCGUGCACGACGCCUUUAUGUGGAAGACAUCCACCGUGAGCCAGGACUGGGCAGUGGACGCCGUGGCCAGGUGAUAGUGCAUACUCGCUUCAACCUUGGCUGCUUAACCCCAUCCCUGGAGCACAUCCUGCAGAAUCCUCUGCUGCCCGAUUCCACCACACCCACUCUUCACUGCGGUGCGUCGUAUAACUGUGCACUGGAGUCCUCAAGGCCCACUUUCGGUGCUUGCAGAGGUACAGAACACUGUACUAUGGCCCACUCUUCACGUCGAAGAUCAUCGCAGUUUGUGUCGUGCUUCACAACCUCGGUGUUUGGCAGCAGCUGCCUGAGCCAGACGACAUCCCUUGCACUGAAGAACUCGAAUGAGAAUAUGCGGACCUUUACAACAACAAUAGCGACGAUACGGCUGCAGUGGACAUGGACCAGGCGGGUAGGCAAAGGCAGGAUCACGCUCUGUAGUGGUUCACAGCUGGGCACGACUCGAUGUAAUAGGGUUUACAUUCCUGCGAGAUGUGCACAGAAACGUGAAACACAAGAAGCUCUUGCUGUUUCCCAUGACAAAGUAGCCACUUGCAUUGUGUUCGAUCCUAUACCUAU